GGUUACAGCUCACCAGGCCUAAUCUGAAGUACCAGACAAAGAAGUGGAGAGUUAUCCAAAAUUGCUCUCUUGUUUAAAAUGCUGUUCCUUCCUAACAAUAUUUUAGCUCUUAGAACUGAUGGCAAGCUAUAUUUUAUCCCCAGAAUGUUUAAUAAGGCAAGGAUAGUGGUUCCUUCACUUCUGCCGCUUGCUGAUGGACCAGAAGAACGUGAACCUGCCUGCCUGGUUUCAGUAGCCUUUUCCUCAUUUGUUAAGGUGGGGAAAAUGUUGGCUGUGUUUGAGAAGGUGAAUGCAUCUCUCAUGUGUGCUACAAAUGGUCUCUGAUGACAUUAAUUCAGAAUAAGAAUAGUCAAAUAGUAUUCUCUCUUUGGUUUGUGGACGUUUUUUUUCCUCUCACACAUUAACGGAUCAAGAUUACCACCAUUAGAUUCAGACUGAGCUGGAUGCUGGUGGAAGCACGUGUAAAAUGUAGUCCAAUGCAACAGUCCCUCCCUGGCUGUGUGAGCUGGGAAUAGCUGGAAUUCCUCUGCUGAGUGUUCAGCAGUCGUGCUGUAUACCUUGUGUGCAUCUACUACUACUGUGCAAGCAGCUUCUUUCCUAUGGAAUCAACAUUUUAGAUGGCAUGCUGUUGGAAUGACACUAUGAAGACCUGGCAAAUGUCACCUAUGCCAAGCAGAGACAGGGAACCACAAAACACAGGUGGCACUGGCAGCGUCUUAGAAUACUGUCAUCAUGAAGCAACAAGAGCCUGACAUUGCAUUGUAUCUGUUCAAUUAAUGUGUUUCUACCUCUGACUUUCCAUGUCAAUCCUGCCUGGUCUCUUCAGUAGCAAGGCAGUGAGGGAAGAAUGCAUCUUUUUUGAAGAAAGACGUUGGGAUUUUUGGUCUAGCUCUGUGACUGGGAUCACACGUACUGCUGCAGGAUAAAGAAAAACCAACAGCAACAGGCUAGGAAGAGUCAGCUCCAUAGCUCUGCCUCUGUUCACCCGUCUCACAUUCGAUUAGUCUCUGCUUGACAUCAGGCUGGGAGCAAUGAGCUCUGAUCAGAACAGUGGAUGUGGCAACAUGCCCGUGAGCUCCACAUGUCACUCCAGAAUCAGAUGCUGUCCCACUGGAUUCCUCCAUAAAACAACUGAGGCAGAUACAUGGAGGCCAGAUUUGUCUGUCUUGUCUAUCUACCACGCCCUCUGAGGUAAGGAAAAAAGGCAGAGCCACCUGUCAGAAAACAUUACGGUAGCAAUGAACUUGAGGGCAGAGAAGGACAUUCAGGAAUGUUGGUUAUCCAUCCAGAUAAAAGUGAGAAACAUUACACAAACACCGUUGCCCUGACAUACUCAAACGGCUCGGUGGUGUUUUGUUUCUGAAUGAUCCUUUCUCACGUGCAUUAGACUCUGGGAAGCAUACAGGCUGCUGUGCGAAGAGGUGGCAGAGCCAAAAUCCAUGUGUGGGCUUGUUCAGGGAGGUUGGGCUAAAGGUGGAAUCCCAAACUUCUGCUUAACUUCAGUAUGAAUUGAAAUUUUACAUCAGCAUUGGGAACUGAUUCACCGUGCAGGUGGAAGAACAUGAGAAGGAAAGGUUCAUCCAUGGUUAGACAAAGGAGGCUUCUCCUGGAAAAGAUCCAUCUCCUGUAAGCGUGCUUUCCCUGAGGCCUGGGGGAAGCCAGCCUGUCCUACCUCCUAGUUUGGGCCUCUUCUGAAGCCAUCCCCUUGGGUCGUACACCUGUCCUUGUCCCCAGCCAUAAGGGUGCUGGUGAGAUGCUAACGGGUCUGCAAAGUGUCACACCCAACCCGAUCCUCCAGUGGUUUAUACCCACUCAGACAUCUUUCUGAUGGUGCAUUCUCCCGUAGAAAGAAACGUUAUGGAGUUCAUUGCAACCAAGCUGUUGUGGGGAGGCGGGAUUUACAUGUGAAACCAGGAAGCAGCCCAAAAAUUGAGAUCUUACUACUUGUAUCUUUUUGAAACAUACAUUUUUAAAGUCUGCGCGAUGGGGAGCAACAGCAAAACUUCUAAAUAACUAAUUUAUCAGCUGUAGAUUUCUCUUGAUGAUCGCUACAGGUUGUGAAGUCUAAUGGCUUGAAGUGUCAGCCUUAUAUCACAGUGGUAGGGAGCUCGUUCUCUAGAGGUUGCACUUCUGAAGCUUUGCCAUUUUUACUCUAUCGAAGGAAUUGCUGCAUUUUUUAACACAGCAUUAUUUCUUUUCUUUUUUUUUUAAUACCUCAUAUUUGCAAGAAUAUUUAACAUUAAUUGAAUCUGGUUUGUUUUUAUGAUGUAUGUGCACAGAAGUUCAGUUAGCCAAGCAGGAGUUCAGACGUAACUGAGGUCUGCAGAUCUCAGGUAUAUAUCUAAGUGGCCUUUUGAACCGCAGCCCAUGUUCUCCGUGAACGUAACGUUGCAGAGCUCUUGUGAUUCUCCUCCUUCCCAGGACUGUUGAAUUGCAUUGCAGUGGAAGGUCAGGCUUGUGGUCAGUCUCUUCUAACACUCACAGGCUAGGUGUAAGUGAUUCCGAAAUGGGUAAUAACAGAGAGGGCUAAUUCAGUAUAGAGCCCUGUGAGUUGUUUUGGUUAGUUGGGUGGUUU
rnacentral:lncRNA from 7 species